AUACGUAGGUGGCAAGCGUUGUCCGGAAUUAUUGGGCGUAAAGCGCAUGUAGGCGGUUUGGUAAGUCGGUCGUGAAAAUGCGGUGCUUAACGCCGUAUGGCGAUUGAAACUGCUGAACUUGAGUGCAGGAGGGGAAAGGGGAACUCCAAGGGGAGCGGUGGAAAGCGUAGAUAUUGGGAAGAACACCGGUGGCGAAGGCGCCUUCCUGGACUGUGAUUGACGCUCAGAUGCGAAAGCCAGGGGAGCGAACGGGAUUAGAUACCCCGGUAGUCCCGGCGGUAAACGAUGGGUAAUAGGGGUGGGAGGUAUCGACUCCUUCCGUGCCGGAGUUAACGCAAUAAGUACCCCGCCUGGGGAGUACGGCCGCAAGGCUUAAACUCAAAUGAAUUGACGGGG
rnacentral:rRNA from 1 species